rnacentral:rRNA from 1 species
GCUUGACUGUAUCCUGGAAUUGGGUUUCGGUUUUUCUUGCGCAGUCUAGGUGGGAGGCUAUGAAGAUUUCCUUCCGGGGAAAUUAGAGCCAUCAGUGAGAGACCACUCUGGAAGAACUAAAAUUCUAAUGGCGUUCCUUGAAUCAGGACGCUUGACAUUUUCAGGUGGGCAGUUUUUCUGGGGCGGAAGCCUCAUAAAGCGUAACUGAGGCGCGCAAAGGUUCCCUCAAGCUGGUUGGAAAUCAGCUUUAGAGUGUAAAGGCAAAAGGGAGCUUGACUGCAAGAGUGACAACUCAAGCAGGGACGAAAGUCGGCCUUAGUGAUCCGACGGCACUGCAUGGAAGGGCCGUCGCUCAACGGAUAAAAGUUA